rnacentral:rRNA from 1 species
UUGGUCAAUGGACGCAAGUCUGAACCAGCCAUGCCGCGUGAAGGAUGAAGGUCCUCUGGAUUGUAAACUUCUUUUAUCUGGGACGAAAACGGGAUUUUUAUCUCAAUUGACGGUACCAGAGGAAUAAGCAUCGGCUAACUCCGUGCCAGCAGCCGCGGUAAUACGGAGGGUGCGAGCGUUAUCCGGAUUCACUGGGUUUAAAGGGUGCGUAGGUGGGCAGAUAAGUCAGUGGUGAAAUCUUCCGGCUUAACCGGGAAACUGCCGUUGAUACAAUUUGUCCUGAUUAUUGCGGAGGUAAGCGGAAUAUGUCAUGUAGCGGUGAAAUGCUUAGCUAUGACGUAGAACACCGAUUGCGAAGGCAGCUUACUACACAAUCAUUGACACUGAGGCACGAAAGCGUG